CCUUUUGUUUCCACAUAAUUGAAUAAUGUUAACAAUAAUUAACAAGUUCUGGAUUGAAUCCGAUACCUUUACCAAUAUAAUGUAAAUAAGUCGUUUCCGGUUGUAUUUCUUCAUUACUCUCCCCUCGGGUGGGCGGUCCAAGAUGUGAAGCUAGCCUAUUGCAAAUUUGCAAGACACUAUCUAGCACACCCUGCUUUUCUAUGAGACACAUUACAUGUCCUGUACGUACUUUAUUUCACUAUAGAAUCUAUGUUAUUACAUGAAUAGUCAGAUCGUUCUCGUCUUGAAUUUGCAUGACAUAAAUAUCACUGGACAUUCGUCUGUCAACAAUUAUACAUUUAUAAAUAUAUGAUAAAACAGUCAAAAUAAAAUAGUCUUACCAGACACAAGUGCAGCAUGAUUCUGGUUAUCUAUGUGUCCCCAUUUUAAUUAUAAAACUUCGU
rnacentral:lncRNA from 1 species